rnacentral:rRNA from 1 species
CCUACGGGAGGCAGCAGUGGGGAAUAUUGCACAAUGGGGGAAACCCUGAUGCAGCAACGCCGCGUGAAGGAAGACGGUUUUCGGAUUGUAAACUUCUGUUCUUAGGGAAGAAUAAUGACGGUAGCGAAGGAGCAAGCGACGGCUAACCACGGGCCAGCAGCCGCGGUAAUACGUAGGUGGCAAGCGUUGUCCGGAAUUACUGGGCGUAAAGGGAGCGCAGGGGGGGAUCGAAGUCAGCUGUGAAAACUACGGGCUUAACUUGUAGGCUGCAGUUGAAACUGGAUUUCUUGAGUGAAGUAGAGGUUAGCGGAAUUCCGAGUGUAGCGGUGAAAUGCGUAGAGAUUCGGAGGAACACCAGUGGCGAAGGCGGCCAACUGGACUUUAACUGACGCUGAGGCUCGAAAGUGUGGGGAGCAAACAGGAUUAGAUACCCGUGUAGUC